rnacentral:rRNA from 1 species
AUUGAACGCUGGCGGCAGGCCUAACACAUGCAAGUCGAGCGAGCGGCGGACGGGUGAGUAAUGUCUGGGAAACUGCCUGAUGGAGGGGGAUAACGACUGGGAACGGUAGCUAAUACCGCAUACCAUCAGAUGUGCCCAGAUGGGAUUAGCUAGUAGGUGGGGUAACGUCCCACCUAGGCGACGAUCCCUAGCUGGUCUGAGAGGAUGACCAGCCACACUGGAACUGAGACACGGUCCAGACUCCUACGGGAGGCAGCAGUGGGGAAUAUUGCACAAUGGGCGCAAGUCUGAUGCAGCCAUGCCGCGUGUGUGAAGAAGGCCUUCGGGUUGUAAAGCACUUUCAGCGGGGAGGCGUUACCCGCAGAAGAAGCACCGGCUAACUCCGUGCCAGCAGCCGCGGUAAUUC